CGGGGUGCAGCAGGCGCGAAAACUUUACAAUGCGGGAAACCGUGAUAAGGGGACACCGAGUGCCAGCAUCAUAUGCUGGCUGUCCAGGUGUGUAAAAUACACCUGUCAGCAAGGGCCGGGCAAGACCGGUGCCAGCCGCCGCGGUAACACCGGCGGCCCGAGUGGUGAUCGUGAUUAUUGGGUCUAAAGGGUCCGUAGCCGGUUUGGUCAGUCCUCCGGGAAAUCUGACGGCUCAACCGUUAGGCUUUCGGGGGAUACUGCCAGUCUUGGAACCGGGAGAGGUAAGAGGUACUACAGGGGUAGGAGUGAAAUCUUGUAAUCCCUGUGAGACCACCUGUGGCGAAGGCGUCUUACCAGAACGGGUUCGACGGUGAGGGACGAAAGCUGGGGGCACGAACCGGAUUAGAUACCCGGGUAGUCCCAGCCGUAAACGAUGCUCGCUAGGUGUCAGGCAUGGCGCGACCGUGUCUGGUGCCGCAGGGAAGCCGUGAAGCGAGCCACCUGGGAAGUACGGCCGCAAGGCUGAAACUUAAAGGAAUUGGCGGGGGAGCACAAGGGCGAAUCGCG
rnacentral:rRNA from 1 species